rnacentral:rRNA from 1 species
UGGGGAAUUUUGGACAAUGGGGGCAACCCUGAUCCAGCAAUGCCGCGUGUGUGAAGAAGGCCUUCGGGUUGUAAAGCACUUUUGUCCGGGAAGAAAUCGCACCUGAUAAUACCGGGUGUGGAUGACGGUACCGGAAGAAUAAGGACCGGCUAACUACGUGCCAGCAGCCGCGGUAAUACGUAGGGUCCAAGCGUUAAUCGGAAUUACUGGGCGUAAAGCGUGCGCAGGCGGUUGUGCAAGACCGAUGUGAAAUCCCCGGGCUUAACCUGGGAAUUGCAUUGGUAACUGGACGGCUAGAGUGUGUCAGAGGGGGGUAGAAUUCCACGUGUAGCAGUGAAAUGCGUAGAGAUGUGGAGGAAUACCGAUGGCGAAGGCAGCCCCCUGGGAUAAAACUGACGCUCAUGCACGAAAGCGUGGGGAGCAAACAGG